UACGUAGGGUGCAAGCGUUAUCCGGAUUUACUGGGCGUAAAGCGUGUGCAGGUGGCCUGUUAAGUGGUGUAUGAAAUCGCCCGGCUCAACCGGGCGGGGUUAUGCCAGACUGGCAGGCUAGAGGGUGGGAGAGGGAUGUGGAAUUCCGGGUGUAGUGGUGAAAUGCGUAGAGAUCCGGAGGAACCCCAGAGGCGAAGGCGGCAUCCUGGCCCACGACUGACACUCAGACACGACAGCAUGGGGAGCGAACGGG
rnacentral:rRNA from 1 species